UUUCCGUAGGUGAACCUGCGGAAGGAUCAUUAACGAAUCUGAAAGGGGUUGUAGCUGGCCUUUCACGAGGCAUGUGCACACCCUGCUCAUCCAUUCACACCUGUGCACACUAUGUAGGUUAGAUGAGCGCCGCGAGGUGCAAGUCUGCCUAUGUCUUUACACACUCUGUUAAGUAAAUGAAUGUACUUGCUAUAAACGCAUCUUAUACAACUUUCAGCAACGGAUCUCUUGGCUCUCGCAUCGAUGAAGAACGCAGCGAAAUGCGAUAAGUAAUGUGAAUUGCAGAAUUCAGUGAAUCAUCGAAUCUUUGAACGCACCUUGCGCCCCUUGGUAUUCCGAGGGGCACACCCGUUUGAGUGUCGUGAAAUUCUCAACCCAAACAUCUUUGCUGGUGUAUGGGCUUGGACUUGGGGGCUUUGCUGGCUUGUGUCGGCUCCCCUUGAAUGCAUUAGCUCGAACCUUUGCGGAUCAGCUAUCGGUGUGAUAAUUGUCUACGCCGUGGUUGUGAUGCCACCCUCACGGGGGUGUUGAAGGAUUGGCUUCCAAUCGUCCUCACGGACAAUUUAUUUGACAUCUGACCUCAAAUCGGGUGGGACUACCCGCUGAACUUAA
rnacentral:rRNA from 1 species